GCCAGUGUGGCAUAGUGGUUUGUGUGUUGGACUAUGAAUCUAGAGACCAGGGUUUGAUUCCCUGCUCAGCCA
rnacentral:tRNA from 1 species